GCGUAGGCGGAAAUAUAAGUCAGCCGUGAAAUCCCGGGGCUCAACCCCGGAACUGCGUUUGAAACUAUAUUUCUUGAGGCAAGGCGGAGAAAACGGAAUUCCACAAGUAGCGGUGAAAUGCGUAGAUAUGUGGAAGAACACCAGUGGCGAAGGCGGUUUUCUAGCUUUGACCUGACGCUGAUGCCCGAAAGCUAGGGGAGCGAACA
rnacentral:rRNA from 1 species